CCUCGACGUUGUCCAUAAGGGGUGAAAAAUUCACUACAAUAUGUUAGAAUUGGAAGAACAAUCACAACAGGAAUCAAACACACAAAAUCUAUUCCUCAUAGUUGGGGAAGAAAAGAAAAACAGAAACAGCAGCAAUACAAGUCCUUAAUAUGGAAACUUACCGUCGAAAGCAAUUGUAAAUAGUUUCGGGAAAUGGACAGAUAAUCAACCUCGAAGUGCUCCUAUUCAGGAGAUGGAUACAAAUUCAUAGAACAAUUUCGGAUUAGGAAAUUUGGUGGGUAAACUCACAAUACUUCAAGUCCACCUGAGAGUUGGUUAUGAUCUUUACAUGAAGUUGAAAGGAAUUCUACAACUCCAAUGGUUCAAUCAACUGCAAUAUGAAAGAUAAAAAAUUCAAUAAAAAGAAUUAACACAUAAACAAAGAAGGUUUUAGUAGUAGCAUGUAAUUACUACGUUAAAUUCACCAAGGAACAUAAUAACAAUUUAAUUAGGGGGUAUAAACAAACUGCUAGUUCUGGGAAUGGCGCCAGGGUGGACAUCGGAUUAGCAAGUAUAUAAUUGUCGGGAUGCCCCAAAACAUUAGGAGCAUAAAAAAUCCAAAUGGAAAAUGGAAAGAGUAUAUUCUGAGUUUGCUGCAUCUGUGACACCUUCUGACUUCUCCAGUGGAAUCAUAAGCAACAUCUUAAUAAUAAGAAUGAGAGCAGACACCAUGUUAUGCACUAAAACUAAAUUCAAAUUCAUGUGUGGGAAAUGAAUUAAGCAAAACCUGCAUGCUGCCUAGGAUUUGCAAUAUUUUUAUUUAAAUAUUUUGCAUAAUUAGCACAAGCAUACAUUUUGAAUAAACGAGAUCAAUGGAGACAUUAAAUAUAUGAAACCCGGACAUAAAGCAUAGAAAUUAGAAUUCCUAUCACAAUCCACCUGCAAAGAUUGAGGAGAAUCCCAAGUUAUUUCUUGUUUCAAAGUAAAAAAAGUUGCAAUGUUUAAAAUAUUUUACAAAAGUGUCUAAAGUGAAGACUGUCCAAUUAUGUAAAAGCUUGACAUUUUUUAUCGUACAUGGGUAGCUUUACAUAGCAUCGCUUAGCCUGCAUCACACAAAACAAGACACAUUAGCAAUGAACUUUAGAGAAGAGGUCAAUAUAAGAAUAAGAACAGAGAUACCAAUAUAUGAAAAGAAGAGGCAAAUCUAAUAGCAAAUUGAGAUUCUUUUAACAGGGAAUAAAUUGAUAUUAGAGAAAACUUAGGACCUACCCACUACUACAUAAUAUGUGUGGGAAUUAUUUGCAUGUUCCAGACAAGAAAUGCUGAUGCAGGGAGCCAAAAGAAAAAAAUAAAACUAAUUUUGAUAUAGUGAAAACACUAUUGGUAAGAGAAAAAAAACUGAGAUUUUCAACAAUUUAUAAGAAAAUAGUUUUGAACAAAACCCAGAGUUGAGUAGAACCCAAAACAAACCAGAACUGAUAUAGGCUCAGACCAGUCCCUGAUCCAGACCCAGACCAAGACCCAAACCAGAAGCAAAUCCAGACCCAGAUCUAACCAAGAGCCAGAACCAACACAGACCCGAACCAGACCCAAAUCCAGACCCAACCCAGACCCAUUAUCGGAACCAGACCUGAACCAGACCCAAACCCAGACUACAACUGACCCAGACCUAGACCAGACCCACACCAGAAACAAAUCCAGACCCGGACCCAACCCAGACCCAGAACCAACACUGACCUGAACCAGACCCAAAUCCUGACCCAGA